GAGUUUGAUCCUGGCUCAGGAUGAACGCUAGCGGCAGGCCUAAUACAUGCAAGUCGAACGGUAACAUGAGUAGCAAUACUUGAUGACGAGUGGCGCACGGGUGCGUAACGCGUAUGCAACCUACCUUUAACUGGGGAAUAGCUCAGAGAAAUCUGAAUUAAUACCCCAUAGUAUUAUUGAUUGGCAUCAAUUGAUAAUUAAAACUCCGGUGGUUAAAGAUGGGCAUGCGUGACAUUAGCUAGUUGGUGAGGUAAUGGCUCACCAAGGCUCCGAUGUCUAGGGGAUCUGAGAGGAUUAACCCCCACACUGGUACUGAGAUACGGACCAGACUCCUACGGGAGGCAGCAGUAAGGAAUAUUGGUCAAUGGACGCAAGUCUGAACCAGCCAUGCCGCGUGCAGGAUGACUGCCCUAUGGGUUGUAAACUGCUUUUGUACGGGAAAAAACCCUCGAUCGUGAUCGAGGCUGAUUGUACCGUAAGAAUAAGGAUCGGCUAACUCCGUGCCAGCAGCCGCGGUAAUACGGAGGAUCCAAGCGUUAUCCGGAUUUAUUGGGUUUAAAGGGUGCGUAGGCGGAAUAGUAAGUCAGUGGUGAAAGCCUGCAGCUUAACUGUAGAAUUGCCAUUGAUACUGCUGAUCUUGAGUACAUAUGAAGUGGGCGGAAUGUGUCAUGUAGCGGUGAAAUGCUUAGAUAUGACACAGAACACCGAUUGCGAAGGCAGCUCACUAAACUGUA
rnacentral:rRNA from 1 species